rnacentral:rRNA from 1 species
AUUGAACGCUGGCGGCAGGCCUAACACAUGCAAGUCGAACGAGUGGCGGACGGGUGAGUAAUGACUGGGAAACUGCCCGAGGGAGAGGGAUAACUACCGGGAACGGUAGCUACUACCGCAUACCAGCGGAUGGGCCCAGAGGGGAUUAGCUAGUAGGUGGGGUAAAGGCUCACCUAGGCGACGAUCCGUAGCUGGUCUGAGAGGAUGACCAGGCACACUGGAACUGAGACACGGUCCAGACUCCUACGGGAGGCAGCAGUGGGGAAUAUUGCACAAUGGGCGCAAGCCUGAUGCAGCCAUGCCGCGUGUAUGAAGAAGGUCUUCGGGUUGUAAAGUACUUUCAGUGGGGAGGCGUUACCCGCAGAAGAAGCACCGGCUAACUCCGUGCCAGCAGCCGCGGUAAUAC